AGGAUGAACGCUAGCUACAGGCUUAACACAUGCAAGUCGAGGGGCAGCGGGAUUGAAGCUUGCUUCAAUUCGCGGCGACCGGCGCACGGGUGAGUAACGCGUAUCCAACCUUCCGUACACUCAGGGAUAGCCUUUCGAAAGAAAGAUUAAUACCUGAUGGUAUGAUGAGAUUGCAUGAUAGCAUCAUUAAAGAUUUAUCGGUGUACGAUGGGGAUGCGUUCCAUUAGGUAGUAGGCGGGGUAACGGCCCACCUAGCCUACGAUGGAUAGGGGUUCUGAGAGGAAGGUCCCCCACAUUGGAACUGAGACACGGUCCAAACUCCUACGGGAGGCAGCAGUGAGGAAUAUUGGUCAAUGGACGAGAGUCUGAACCAGCCAAGUAGCGUGCAGGAAGACGGCCCUAUGGGUUGUAAACUGCUUUUAUAAGGGAAUAAAGUGAGUCUCGUGAGACUUUUUGCAUGUACCUUAUGAAUAAGGACCGGCUAAUUCCGUG
rnacentral:rRNA from 1 species